rnacentral:miRNA from 1 species
GAGAGAGAGAGAGAGAGAGAGAGAGAGAGAGAGUAGCAAAUUAUUUGGAACUACCAAACAAUUCGACGAAAAAUUUGCAGGAAAAGUUGUCUUUCCCUGCCGCUCUCCGCGCUCGCUC